CCAAUAGCGUAUAUUAAAGUUGUUGCAGUUAAAAAGCUCGUAGUUGAAUUUCGAGAUCAAUUUUCUUGGUCAUACCUUUGUAUGUACUGGUCUUAUUGAUUUCUCCCUUCUGAUGAACCAUGAUGUCAUUAAUUUGGUGUUAUGGGGAAUAAGGACUAUUACUUUGAAAAAAUUAGAGUGUUUAAAGCAGGCUCACGCUUGAAUACAUUAGCAUGGAAUAAUGAAAUAGGACGUUUGAUUCUAUUUUGUUGGUUUCUAGGAUUGACGUAAUGAUUAAUAGGGAUAGUUGGGGGCAUUAGUAUUCAAUUGUCAGAGGUGAAAUUCUUGGAUUUAUUGAAGACUAACUACUGCGAAAGCAUUUGCCAAAGAUGUUUUCAUUAAUCAAGAACGAAAGUUAGGGGAUCGAAGACGAUCAGAUACCGUCGUAGUCUUAACCAUAAACUAUGCCGACUAGGAAUCGGAUGAUGUUAAUUUUUUAAUGACUCAUUCGGCGCCUUACG
rnacentral:rRNA from 1 species